rnacentral:rRNA from 1 species
AUUCCAGCUCCAAUAGUGUAUCUUAACGUUGUUGCAGUUAAAAAGCUCGUAGUUGAAUUUCUGCUGUGAGGGGACGUUGGUUAGCCCAUGUCACCUCCUGCAUCCGCUUUGGAAUCAGAAUGGGUAUUUGUUUACUGGUCUGGUAGAAGAGGCAUUUUACUUUGAAGAAAUUAGAGUGUUCCAAGCAGGCUUUUGCUUGAAUACAUCAGCAUGGAAUAAUGGAAUAGGACAUUGCAAAUUUUAGAGAUUGGUUUGCAUGUAAUGAUUAACAGGGACAGUUGGGGGCAUUCGUAUUCAUCAGUCAGAGGUGAAAUUCUUGGAUUUGUUGAAGACGAACUAAUGCGAAAGCAUUUGCCAAGGAUGUUUUCAUCA